rnacentral:rRNA from 1 species
GGGGAAUCGGUCUUGAUGUGGAUCCGCCAUUAGUUAACUCUUCGGGAUGUGGAGUUCACAUCGUUUACCUUGAAAAAAUUAGAGUGUCAAAGCAGGCUUUUGCUUGAAUAUAUUAGCAUGGAAUAAUGGAAUAGGACCCUGGUUCUAUUUUGUUGGUUUGAGAACCAGAGUAAUGAUUAAUAGGGAUAGUUGGGGGCAUUCAUAUUUCAUUGUCAGAGGUGAAAUUCUUGGAUUUAUGAAAGAUGAACUUCUGCGAAAAUUUUCCAAGGAUGUUUUCAUUAAUCAAGAACAAAGUUAGGGGAUCGAAGACGUCAGAUAUGUCGUAGUCUUAACCAUAAACUUGCCGACUAGGAUUGGCGUGGUUUGUUCAUUGACCCGCUCAGACCUUACGAGAAAUCAAAGCUUUGGGUUCCGGGGGAGUAUGGGCCGCAGGGUGAAACUUAAAGGAAUUGACGGAGGGGCACACCAGGAGUGGAGCCUGCGUUAAUUUGACUCCACACGGGGAAACUUACCAGGGCCAAACAUGGUUGGGAUUGACAGAUGAGAGCUCUUUUCUUGAUUCUAUGGGGGGGGGGGGCAUGGCCGUUCUUUAGUUUGGGGGAGGAUUUGGCUUGGUUAAUUCCGUUAACGAACGAGAACCUCAGCCUGGUUAACUAGGGAUGGCCAUUUUUUAAUGGGAAGCCCGCUUCUUAGAGGGACUAUUCGUGUUCAACGAUGGAAGUUUGAGGCAUUAACAGGCCG